AACGAACGCUGGCGGCGUGCCUAACACAUGCAAGUCGAGCGCCCGUAGCAAUACGGGAGCGGCAGACGGGAUAGUAACACGUGGGAACGUACCCUUCAGUUCGGAACAACCCAGGGAAACUUGGGCUAAUACCGAAUACGUCCGUAAGGAGAAAGAUUUAUCGCUGAAGGAUCGGCCCGCGUCUGAUUAGCUAGUUGGUGGGGUAAUGGCCCACCAAGGCGACGAUCAGUAGCUGGUCUGAGAGGAUGAUCAGCAUCACUGGGACUGAGACACGGCCCAGACUCCUACGGGAGGCAGCAGUGGGGAAUAUUGGACAAUGGGCGCAAGCCUGAUCCAGCCAUGCCGCGUGGAUGAUGAAGGCCCUAGGGUUGUAAAGUCCUUUCGGCGGGGAAGAUAAUGACGGUACCCGCAGAAGAAGCCCCGGCUAACUUCGUGCCAGCAGCAGCCGCUGUAAC
rnacentral:rRNA from 1 species